rnacentral:rRNA from 1 species
AUUGAACGCUGGCGGCAGGCCUAAAACAUGCAAGUCGAACGCCCUAGCAAUAGGGAGUGGCGCGCGGGUGAGUAACAUGUGGGAAUAUGCCUUUUGGUACGGAACAACGUUUGGAAACGAACGCUAAUACCGUAUGGUCCCUCCGGGGUAAAGAUUUAUCGCCAAAAGAUUAGCCCGCACUAGAUUAGCUAGUUGGUAAGGUAAUGGCUUACCAAGGCGACGAUCUAUAGCUGUUCUGAGAGGAAGAUCAGCCACACUGGGACUGAGACACGGCCCAGACUCCUACGGGAGGCAGCAGUUAGGAAUAUUGGACAAUGGGCGCAAGCCUGAUCCAGCCAUGCCGCGUGAGUGAUGAAGGCCUUCGGGUUGUAAAGCUCUUUAGCCGACGAAUAUAAUGACUGUAGUCGGAGAAUAAGCCCCGGCUAACUUCGUGCCAGCCGCCGCGGUAAAAC